rnacentral:rRNA from 1 species
CAGUAGCCGCGGUAAUACGUAGGGUGCAAGCGUUAAUCGGAAUUACUGGGCGUAAAGCGUGCGUAGGCGGUUUGUUAAGUCUGUUGUGAAAUCCCCGGGCUCAACCUGGGAAUGGCAAUGGAUACUGGCAAGCUAGAGUGUGUCAGAGGAUGGUGGAAUUCCCGGUGUAGCGGUGAAAUGCGUAGAGAUCGGGAGGAACAUCAGUGGCGAAGGCGGCCAUCUGGGACAACACUGACGCUGAGGCACGAAAGCGUGGGGAGCAAACAGGAUUAGAUACCCCGGUAGUCCCUGUCUCUUAUAC